AACGAACGCUGGCGGCGUGCUUAACACAUGCAAGUCGAGCGAUGAAGCACCUUCGGGUGUGGAUUAGCGGCGAACGGGUGAGGAACACGUGAGGAAUCUGCCUUCAACUUUGGGAUAACUCCGGGAAACCGGGGCUAAUACCGGAUAUGAAACCUGACGGCAUCGUCGGGUUUGGAAAGUUUUUCGGUUGAAGAUGACCUCGCGGCCUAUCAGCUUGUUGGUGAGGUAAUGGCUCACCAAGGCGACGACGGGUAGCCGGCCUGGGAGGGCGACCGGCCACACUGGGACUGAGACACGGCCCAGACUCCUACGGGAGGCAGCAGUGGGGAAUAUUGCGCAAUGGAGGAAACUCUGACGCAGCGACGCCGCGUGCGGGAUGACGGCCUUCGGGUUGUAAACCGCUUUCAGCAGGGAAUAAGCGAAAGUGAAGGUACCUGCAGAAGAAGCACCGGCUAACUAUGUGCCAGCCGCCGCCGUAACAC
rnacentral:rRNA from 1 species